rnacentral:rRNA from 1 species
CCCUUAGACGUUCUGGGCCGCACGCGCGCUACACUGACCAGUGCAACAAGCAUCCGUCCUUGGCCGACAGGCUCGGGCAAUCUUUGAACGCUGGUCGUGAUGGGGAUAGACUUUUGCAAUUUUUGGUCUUCAACGAGGAAUUCCUAGUAAACGCAAGUCAUCAACUUGCAUUGAUUACGUCCCUGCUCUUUGUAUACACCGCCCGUCGCACCUACCGAUUGAAUGGUCCGGUGAAGCCUCCGGAUUGGCGCGCACCUCGGUGCCGCCGAGAAGUUGGCUAAACCUUACCAUUUAGAGGAAGGUGAAGUCGUAACA